AUUGAACGCUGGCGGCAUGCCUUACACAUGCAAGUCGAACGGCAGCACGGGUGCUUGCACCUGGUGGCGAGUGGCGAACGGGUGAGUAAUACAUCGGAACAUGUCCUGUAGUGGGGGAUAGCCCGGCGAAAGCCGGAUUAAUACCGCAUACGAUCUACGGAUGAAAGCGGGGGACCUUCGGGCCUCGCGCUAUAGGGUUGGCCGAUGGCUGAUUAGCUAGUUGGUGGGGUAAAGGCCUACCAAGGCGACGAUCAGUAGCUGGUCUGAGAGGACGACCAGCCACACUGGGACUGAGACACGGCCCAGACUCCUACGGGGAGCAGCAGUGGGGAAUUUUGGACAAUGGGCGAAAGCCUGAUCCAGCAAUGCCGCGUGUGUGAAGAAGGCCUUCGGGUUGUAAAGCACUUUUGUCCGGAAAGAAAUCCUUGGCUCUAAUACAGUCGGGGGAUGACGGUACCGGAAGAAUAAGCACCGGCUAACUACGUG
rnacentral:rRNA from 1 species